AUUGAACGCUGGCGGCAUGCCUUACACAUGCAAGUCGAACGGCAGCACGGGUGCUUGCACCUGGUGGCGAGUGGCGAACGGGUGAGUAAUACAUCGGAACGUACCUUAUCGUGGGGGAUAACGCAGCGAAAGCUGUGCUAAUACCGCAUACGCCCUGAGGGGGAAAGCGGGGGAUCGAAAGACCUCGCGCGAUUAGAGCGGCCGAUGCCUGAUUAGCUUGUUGGUGGGGUAAAAGCCCACCAAGGCGACGAUCAGUAGCUGGUCUGAGGGGAGGAUCAGCCACACGGGGACUGAGACACGGCCCAGACUCCUACGGGGGGCAGCAGUGGGGAAUUUUGGACAAUGGGGGCAACCCUGAUCCAGCAAUGCCGCGUGAGUGAAGAAGGCCUUCGGGUUGUAAAGCUCUUUUGUCAGGGAAGAAACACCGGCUCUAACACAGUCCGGGAAUGACGGUACCUGAAGAAUAAGCACCGGCUAACUACGUGCCAGCCGCCGCGGUAA
rnacentral:rRNA from 1 species